AGAUUGAACGCUGGCGGCAUGCCUAACACAUGCAAGUCGAACGGCAGCGGGUCGUAGCAAUACGAUGCCGGCGAGUGGCGGACGGGUGAGGAAUACAUAGGAAUCUACCCUGUCGUGGGGGAUAACGUAGGGAAACUUACGCUAAUACCGCAUACGACCGAGAGGUGAAAGCGGCGGACCGCAAGGCGUCGCGCGGCUGGAUGAGCCUAUGUCCGAUUAGCUAGUUGGCGGGUAAGAGCCCACCAAGGCGACGAUCGGUAGCUGGUCUGAGAGGAUGAUCAGCCACACUGGGACUGAGACACGGCCCAGACUCCGUACGGGAGGCAGCGAGGUGGGGAAUAGUUGGACAAGUGGGG
rnacentral:rRNA from 1 species